rnacentral:lncRNA from 1 species
ACAAGAGAGAGGUUGGCGAGAGAGAAUAGUGGAUCUGGGACACACAGCUGUAGGAGAGGGAAGUAUGGAAAGACGAAACAUAGAAAGAGAUGAACACAGUUUUUUGGCUGUCUUGGUGGUUUUUGAGCUGGUUUUUUGGGAUAUUGGGUGGUUUGCAUGGCAGAGAAAAAGGUGUUUACGGUGGCUUAGUAUUGGAAAGAGGAUGGGUUGUGUGGGUUGGGUACUAGUUUUUUUAUAGACAAAGAGGUGGAGAGAGACAGAGAGAGAUGAAACACAGGAGAGAAUCCACUGGCUGCAAAUCGAGCAAUGGAGAUGAAACACGGACGAAAUCCACCCGUUGCAAAUCGAGCGAUGGGGAUGAGCUGCAGAGAGAGAGAGAGAGAGAACCUGGAAAUCUAGAGAGAGAGAGGUGUUUCUUUUCAUCGACUGUUUUAUCAAACCAGGGUAAAAGAAAUAUUUUUUAACAUGUGUUCCAGCAAAGGGGGUUCAGAGAUAAAUUCGAAACCCUAGCCGGACUGCUGGUAUCCAUUCAAUAGAAUGGAUAUUAAAAAUCAAGUUUCAGAAACAGCCAUGAUUGUUGUUGUUCAUGCUUUAGUAAUAUUGUCAUCGCUUGAGAAGCAUUCAAUUAUAAAAAUUCUGAAGUACUGAUAAACAGCGACACACAUAAAACAUCCCGGAAGAUGCUAAGCUACGUUCAACGGUUCAAAUUGAAUUUGAACUGAUAUGAUAGUUAGGAUUGUAUUUCAGUAAUAUAAUUUUAAUAUUUUUUAUACAAAUUUAAAUAACAUGAGGGCAUUUGAUCAAUUUAUUUUUUGUGAUUUAUUUUUUUGAUAUUUUUAUUAGAUUUUAUUAUUUUUUAAAAAUAAAAGUUUCAAAUUUCAAAUCAUUUAGAUUUGUAAAAAAAAAGUAUUAAAAUUCAAUUACAAAACACAAUUGUGAUUAUUGGAUCGGCUCAGAUUCAAUUUUGAACCGUUGGAGUUUACACUAUUCCAUCAACCCAUGGAUUGAUGGUAACUUUUUCCUAAAAUACAUAUUAAGAUAUUAUGUAAGCUAGAAAUAUGGAAACACAACAAAGCUUUUAUUCAAAUUUCAAAAUUUUUGAAUAUUUUAAAUCCUAUUUUAUCAAACAUAUCUUAAACAGUUGAAAAUAUUAUUAAAAUAUAUGAUCCAUAUGACUUAUUAUAAGAUAUAUUUUUUUAAAGGACUUGAAAUUUUCUCUCAAACAUCCAUACAUCGUAAAAUCCGAGAUAAUCAAAUGAAAGGUUUUCCAACUUUGGAACUCUCCUCUACUAGACUUCUAAAGGACAACUUACAUUUAUAAUGCAAGGUUACUUUCUGAUGUAAACUUUUUCCUUCCAUUUUGGGUACGUCUAGAGUCAAUACAAGAAGAUUUUAAAAGGAACUUUUUCCUUCCAUUUUGGAUACGUCUAGAGUCCAUACAAGAAGAUUUUAAAAGGAAUUUUAUACAGAGACACAAUUUACCAAAUAUGAUGGAUUCAGUGUUACAAAAUUUUUAAAAAAAAAAUUGAACUUUGAACUUUAUAACCACCAAAUUUCACAUUCAUUAACUAAGAUUAAUUGUGACCACCUUGUAUCAAAAUAAAUAAUUCCAUUGUAUAUUUUUUUAUUUAAAUAACUACAUAAAAAAGGGAAAAGUAGAUAAACUUGUUGGGAAAAACUACAUGAAUUCCGACCUCUAAACAACUCCCCUCUAUAUAAAAACAAGGAAAAGUAUAAAAACUUGUAUGGAUAUUUGGGAAAAACUACAUGAAUUCAAAGUGACUACCUUUGAACAACUCCCUCCCAAAUCAAGAGCACCUGGCCAAAGCUCGAGGGACAACGAAAUUCUCAAAACGUUUUUCAAUAAUCCACACCCAUCCAACUCUCAUUACAAUUCGACGGGCCAAAUCAUUCUUUAUUUAAGAAAGAAAUUGACUAAAAAAGAAAAACAAAUCAUUGUUCCACAAAUCAUGUAUAAAACAUCCAUCGAUGCGAACAAGUUCAAACUAACGGUCCAAAUAUUUCCUUCAGGACUCCCGAAAACCGUGUCCCAAAAUAAAACCCAAUAUACAGCCACAAUCUAAAGAGAGAGACCAUGUCCAAGAUAAUGAGCCACAAUCUAAGAGAGAGAGAGGAGUGGGGUGGGGUUGGAGGGCAGACAUCCAGGAUAAUGAACCACAAUAUAAUAUAGAGGGAGGGAAAGAGAAGACCAUGUCCAGGACAAUGUACCACAAUCUAGCUAAAACAUGUUAAGAAAGCUUACAGUUGCUACAGUUCCCUUAAGUUAAAAUGAGGCCCAAGAUACCCUCCAGGCCCAGUUAAUACCUCUUCUCCAAAACGGAAAUGAAACAAAUUAAAAAACCAGACAACACAGGAAAAUGCAUGAGAUAAAAGUGAGGAACCCAACAUCGGCCAUUACAUACCGCAACUCACUCCUCACCCAAUCCCCAUAAAGCAACAAAGAAAACUAAAACGUCUCCAGCCCAAGGAGUGAGAGAGGUAGGUUCAAGCCCAAAAUUCCGAAGAUGCUUCAUGGCUCAAACCCAGCAUACCCAGGGAGAGGGAGAGGUUCCCCUCAUACCUGCUUUCGCAGCUCUGAUGCACCAUGUGCAAAGUGGCACCGAUCACCAAAGGUGCAUGAACCCUUGGCAAAAUUCUCGCAAAGCUUGGUCUUAUAAUUGUUUCCACCCCCACCCCCACCUCCACCUCCACCUCCACCUCCACCUCCACCUCCACCUCCACCUCCAAACCCCUUCGCCAUAGCCCCAGCAGGAGCACCACCACCACCAGGUCCUCCAACACUAGCAAUCAACUCUCUAACCAUCACACUAGCCUGAUUAAUCUGAUCAAAGCUCCCUUCCAAUUCAAUAUUUCUAAGGUUAGGGUCACUCUCAUGCUCCCUAAUGGCAAGCUUAGCACCAGUAACCCGACAUAUGUGUUUCGAGUUAACGCCGCCUUUCCCAAUAAUGGCACCGGCAAGGGACGCAUCUACACUGAUCUUGGCAUUGGCAGAGGCACCGAACCCUAGACCUGAGGGCUCAAACCUACGGCCCGUUGGGCUUGCUCCAAGGGGAGGUCGGUUGAGCUCACGUUCACUGUGAGCAAAAUGGCAUUUUUCACCAAAGCGACAACCUUCAGGGGUGUUGAAAUUAGCACACAUUCGUGACUUAAUCGGGCCUAGGGCUUGUGGGUCAGGAGGCCCAGUGCCAAAGCGAGAGGGGGCGAGUGGGCCCCCUAGGGUUUGGCGAAGCUGGGCUACCACAUUCACACCGGGUACAUAGUGGAGGAAAUGACACGACUCGCCGAAGGGGCAACCAGUUGUGCUGCAAAAAGUAACAGAGACGAAUCGAUGUUAACUCACAUUUUAUGGCAAAAACAAUGUAGGAUCAGUGGGUGCACAUCUCUCUCUCUCUCUCUCUCUCUCUCUCUCUCUCUCUCUCUCUCUCAGUGUGUGUGUGCAGGCACGGGGAGGAAAGGGGGUAGAGGGGUGCGGAGUGGUUGGGUGGGCACAGCGGGGGAAAGGGGGUAGAGGGGUGCGGGGUGGUUGGGUGGGCACAGCCACAUAUGUGUGUUUAGACACUUGCAAAUGUGGGUGUGUGUUUUACGAGGAUGGGUGUGUCCUCAACAUUAGAACCAACAAGAUAUCAACAAGGACUCAAAUCAAUCAGUUCAACAGAAAGCACAAAAAAGAUAUGGUGUCGUAAAUGUGUAAGUGUUUGGAAAGGGAAGAACUAGGUUUCAGGGUUCCUACUUCCUAGCACUGACUGUUUACUGUCUAUGCAUUUUAACAUUACAUUUAGAAGACGAGAAUUCCAUGGAUACAACGUCAUAAAGACCACUUAUGCCAUUCAUCGUUGUAAGAUCCCAGAAAUAUCUAAUGAUUCAAAUAAGAAUAAAAUAUACUAGACACCAGAAAUAUUGGAGGACUACUAAAUUUCAUAACCAUUACCAUGCACACAAAUAAGACACAAGAGAUAACACAAAAUUUGUUGCGUAAGAAACGUUUUCUUUAUUCUUCUUCUUCUUCUUCUUCUUUUUAAUUUAAAAAAAAAAGCAAUACGGUGAGAGUUGCUGGAGGAAUCAUUUUGAGGCAUGGCAAUUGAAUACAUCUAUUACCCAUCAAAAUGACGUGCUAGAAAUUCCCCAUUUGCAAAAAUCUUUGAUUGACCUUUAGGAUUCCCAAGCGACAAAGAUGCACUUCCAUUACAAGAUUUUACAGCAAAUGAAACAUCUGCCCUGACAAAUAUCUAUUUUCAGCUUUCCUUAAUUCAUUAUGUUUUUUCCUAAAUAUGCUAAUUCUGGUUAACCUUAUUGCAGGUUGGAACUUUAAAGAUAUAUUUCAGACAUGAAUCAUCCCACAAGGCAGCAACUUCAAACCUUUUGCUCCAUUUUUUCUUUUUUCCAUAUGCAAAAGAUCCUCAGGUCGAUCAUCACAUAUUCUCAAUUUGCUCCAUCCAAUAUGAACUGUUGACUUUUUUGAGACUCCUAAAUUACAUCCCAACACAAUCCUUUAUUAAUUCAAAACAGAGAUUAAUUCCAUUCAAUAGCUUCAUAAGAUGAUUAGGCUUUCAAACGCGCACAAAUUUAAUAGGCCAUGUAGAAACCUUCUCUAUGUUACAUUUCUCAGAAUAACUGUACAACAUUACUCUUUUCCAUUUUGAGUUCUUCUAUAACAUCAACAUUUUGGCACGCCAUUAGUUCUUUCACCAAAAUAGUAAAUGUGAAUCCUCCACUGAAAGUUGGUACCCAUAAAGUCAAGAUAUGAACAACACGGUAUGAUCAACUUAGGUGGUUGGGGGCAGCAUAAAGAAGCACAUCACAUAAUCACUCUGAAAUACCGAAACAUUCAUUUGGCCAUCCUCAUUCCUCCACCUUAAUUGAAAUACUAAGCCCUCAAAUCAUAACACUUGUUCUAAAUGGUAACCUAACUAGGCUGCAAUGCCAUCUCAUGAUUCACUGCUGUGAAACUUCAAUCAUUUGGAUACUCAACAGUUUAGAUCAUGUUUCAAUCUUAUUUAGAGAGCUUGAAACCCACACAUGGCUUUCUCAGUAAAUUGAUAGAUGGUAAAAAGUCUGUUCUGGGCUUCACAUGCUAGUGUAUGACAAAUUGACAUAAUCCCAAAUAAACAAUUGCAGCCAAGACAAAUUGACCAAAUAACAAGAUCAACCAGCAUAACCAAAUAAAUCGUGAUUAUAGCUAAAUAGAAAGACUGCCUAAGUUUUGUUGAGAAAAUAGUAAGCAAACCAGAGGUACGACCAAAAUUACACCUACAAGAUCCAUGAGAUAUUGUUAGCAUCUAAAUUAACGAUGACUAGUAAACAAAAUACAAUAUGGGGAAAUCUCAGUUUGAUAUUAUCAUGACAAGGUAAGAUGGAUGAAGGACAACCGUACUACAAAACAGUGAGACCCUAAAGUAAUUCAUGUCAAUGGUAAGACACAUAAACCCAUGAUGAGCAACAAGAAUUUUGGCAGAUUAUACACGAUUCAAAGUAUCUGUAUUUGCCAAAGUGCUCUAACAACUUACCUCUCGACUGCACAAUCACCUCUUACAGACUAACAUUGGAUAAUCUUAGUAGAUCACAAGAAAGUAAUGGGGCAAAAAUGUCCUAGUUAGUCCCUAACACUUCAGCUUGGUGGUAGACGUAUCAGGUUUGGAGGGGGAAUCAAGUGCUCAAACCCUUGGAGUUUGUACCAAAAAAAGCCAAACCUGACUGAGCUUUUUCUUAAAUUAAUGUCCUAGUUACUCCAUUGUAUAUCUCAGUACUUAGGAACUCACAUCGGCCAAGGGCUACAGGACCAAAACCCCUAGAUAAAUUUUUAAAAAUAAGAAAUUUAAAAAAAAAAAAAAAAAAGAGAAAAUAAGAAGGUCGUAAAAAUGAAAAUGAAAUAAAACCAACAACUACCUUAGAAAGUCCAAAUAUCUUUAAAGACGUUAGAAAAAAUAGAUUUAAAAAUAACAACUGAUUUAUAAUUGGGGGCAUUUUAAAAGAUCCAAAAAAGAGGGGAUAUAUAAAAACAGGGAUUACAACCAAAACACUCACCAAUGUUUGCCAAAGACAUCCAAAUCAUAUACAAAAUUUAUAGAACAAUCCCAAAUUUUUCACAAUUUUUUGAAUUUUUUGAAUUUUUUGAAAUUUUCUUACAUACCCCAAGUUGUACACACAACAUGGGUUAGUCGGCCUCGCCCAUAGGGCGACUCCCACAUAGUGGCAUAUCUAAUGCAUGCAAACAAACUAGUAAAGAAGAACUGGACCAUGGCAUAGAUGAACUGAAUCAAUAUUACUGGUGUUAUUAAGCCUAAACAACAUUAAAAUACUAUAAAUAAUAUAGCAAAAAUCAAGCUCAGGUGCAUUCACAAUGGCCAUUGUGCGCAACUAAGUUUCUUACCAUUUUUUAUAAUUUGCUAUAUCAUACUAUCAUAGACCAAAACGUCGGCUAAAUACGGAGUUUCCAAUUUAUUAUAACAUUUAUCAUGGGUUUUUCUUUGAAAGUGUAUAACAUUUAUCAUGGGUUGGACAGGCAUAACAGACCAAUCUCUAAAUGUAUAAAUUUCUGAAGGAAAAUGGAUCUGACAUUCACCAGGUGGACAAUGGUACGUAUAAGAGGUUGAAGGUAGGUCCAUAGCAAGGGCAACACAUGAAAGCAAACAUGUAUUUAUGAAGACCCACGAAUCCCCAACCAGCUUUCCUUUUUUUCAUGACAAUAAUCACUGCCAACAUUUUCUAUUUAUGCAGCACCCUUCAGCACAGUAAACCAGAGGGGAAGGAUUGCAACCUUAUACUGUAGAAAAAGGCAUGUCUCAAAAAUCCAUUUAAAAAGGUUGUUCUGAUGCUAGAAAACCCUCUAAUUGAUCAUCUCGACCUCUAGAUGUACAGAUGAGGGGACGAAAAAAGAUUUUAAAGUCCCAUAAAGCGCACAUCUAGUAAAUAUCGCGAUCAACCAUUCUCAAGAUUUUUAUGUCUGUAGGUCUGCUCGAUCUAUAUACCAUUUUUUGAGUUUUAAAUUUCAUAUUUAGAUGUGAAGUAGAUUUUUCAGGUAAUCACUGAAAUUUCUGACACCAAAGUUACAUCUUUCGAUGAACUUUAGAGGUGUGCCUUACUUGGAAUGUUUAUGGUUAUUACCUAUACAAAUCACACCCCAGUUUUUAAGGUGAUGUGUUCUAUAUUGUGCUUAAUUAAAAUUCAAAUUCACAUCAAAUUACAAGGCUCAAAUUCAUUUCUAAUUUUCCACUAUAAAAUUUGUCUCAAGUGCAACUUUGAAACAAAUCAUAUGUUAUGCUCUGGAUGUAGUGCUUCACAUGACUAGAACACAAAUCAGAAACAAAUGAAGGCAUGGAAAAAGGAGAAGAAAAAAGUGGGGAAAAGUUUAACACCUUUCACUGAGUGGACAAACGGUAUGUCCAAGACGUGAAAGAUAGGUUAGUAAAAGGGUAACAAACAAAGGCAACCAUGUAUUUAUAAAGACCCGAUGAGGAAUGGGGUUGAGGUCAAGGUGGUAGCACCAAUUGUAACUCAGCUACCAGUCUCAGUUUCCAUUCCUCCAGUGCUAAUCCUUCUUGAAAACUACUAACACUUAACGUUCAAAAAAACGAAAAUAACUACCAAUGGUUUUUUGAACAAUAAUCACUACCAAUUUUUUUCAUCUAGGCAGCACUCAGCAGAGCAAUACAGGGUUUAUCCGAAGUUAAAAUUCAAAUUCACAAAAUUUAAUGGGCAAAUUCCUUUUUUUAAUUUCCACCAGAAAAUUCGUCUCGCUUCCAACUUUGAGCCAUAUGCUAAUGGCAUGCUCUGGACGUAAUGGUUCACAUGACUAGAACACGAAUCGAAAGCAAAGGAAGGUAUAGAGAGUGAAUAUGAGAAAAAUGGUGAAUAAGACAACAUAGGGAAGGUUAUACGAAUGAUGAAGUUGAAGAAAAGCACAAAAAAAUAUGAAACAUAAAAUAAAAAUAGAAUUGAGAAAUAGAAAAAAAAAAAGAAGAAAUUAUUCUUGGUUUCCUUUUGUAAAUAAAUUUACUUCUUUUUUUUUGAGAAUGUUAAAAUUUUAUGUUUGUUAAACCUUUUUUUCCUUUUUUUUUUGAAGAAAAAAUGGGAGUUAAAAAAAUACUCAAGAAGUAAAUAAAUUCACGUCAUAAAGGAUAACUUUCCUCGCAAGAAUAUCUCUUCAGCACUUGUUUUGGGGGGAGGGGGCAAUCCCUUAUUUGAAUUGCUUCCCUGAUUUGGGGCAAGGUUCACGUAUAUCAACAGGCAUACGGAGGAAGAAUGACACAUACAGGAGCAGAAGUUAUUUCUAAGCAAUCACUGGGAGUAGAUAUAAGACUUUGAGGUAAAAUAGGCUAGAACGAAGUCUGGUCCUAAAAUGCCCCCAAAAAAAAACAUACACACACACAUGUCAAAGUGCAUACACAAUGCCAAACUGGAGGGACCUAUGAUAGAUCAAGAAGCAAUUGCAAGUUCAUAUGGCAGGAUACCCAGCAGAAGAGGAGACAAAACGCAUCACAGAUUCUUUUCUUAAUAAUCACAGAUACGUAAGACAGACACCUAGCGAAGGAGAAGGGCUCCUUAGACAGAAUUGUCUAAGGAGAAGAGACGCAAGUUGGUCAGAGUAGCGAAUGCUAUUAGGCAGGAGGAUAUUGGGUUGGAAACAGAAGUAUAUGGACUAAUGAAAAAUGUAGGCCAAACCGAGCAAGAGAGAGAGAGAGAUCGAGAGAGAUCGAGAGAGAGAGAGAGAGAGAGAGAGUAGGUUCCCCUGCCAGGUUCCUUUGUCAGAGGAGCAAUUCUUGGAUUGGGCCAUGACAUAGAAACAUUUCAAAUAAAGACAGUGGAGGCCACAUAUCUACGUGAGGUUAACAGGUAGAAAGCUUAUGACAAUGUGGGCAAAGCUUCUUUUAGACAACAUGCUGGCACGGGAGAGGGUUUGGAACUAGACAGAGAUGGUGACCAUGUACCUGGUUUUUGUCGGACUACUACUCUAUUUUGAGCAACCAGUUUGCUAAAUGGCCUUUUCAAUGGCUCAAGAGGAUAGAGAGGAGAAUCUAACUACUUUGUGAUUAGUUAUUAUAGUAGUUAGUUAUUAUGAUUGACAUUAUUGUACAAUGACAUAGACAACAAAAAGGGAGGUCAUUGAGCAGCACGUGGUGAUAAUAGUAUUAAAAUUUCUUUCACACAAAUUUCUUUCUUUCCCAUUUAUUAAUCCCCAAGUACCUCAAUAAGAACUGGUACUUGUGAAAUGAGUUAAUUUAAAAAGAUUGAGGUUAUUAGGGGUGGGAGAUGAGUCAUCUUGAGAUUUGGAGUGCAAUCGUUAUCGAACCACUAUCAGCUUAACUUCGAAUAUUCCUUAUCUAACAAACUCUAAUUAAUAGUCAUGCACCACUUCCCCAAAAGGAGGCUCUGCAAGCUAUUACGAAAGAAGAAGGGGAAAUUACUAAAUCCUCCCCAGGUUGAAUGUUCUCCAUGUAACGCCUGUUGUUGAAAAGUCCCUCGCACCCAUUACCCUGAAAUACUUCUUUUUUUCACCGACCCUAGGGUACUUUUCAGCCUAACUUGUUUUACUAAAAUACCCUUAUUAAGGGCUUUUACAAAGUCAAAAUAAAUAUUGCUAUUUCUCUCUCUCUCUUUCCCACUUUUCUCUCUCUAAGCCUACCUUCCCAUUCAUAUUCAUAUUUCUCGCUCUCUCUUUCCCCUUUCCCCCUAAUCCAUUGCACCCAAACCACCAGAGGUCAGCCAUUCACUUGGCCUUUAAUACUCAUACAAUUGUGCAUACCACAUUUGGUGUUGACCAGAGGUUAACCAUUUUUUCAGUCACUCGAUCAUCAAUCUAAAUCCAAAAGACAAUAACCAAUCAUCUUUAUCAACAGCAUAACAUACAUAAACAGUAGUUACAUACCAUGCAUACUAAUAUAUGCAAGCUGAGAUCAUCUGAACAUGAAUACGAUCCCAAACACAAUUAAGUACUAGCAACUGGUAUCUGAUAUCCCAGUUAGCUCAAUAAACCUCAUCAACUCCUCACUAGCAUUCAAACAGCCACCCCACAACAUAAAAAACAGGCCCUUUCGAUCCCAAAAUCAAUUGUCAAACGUAUUCAAGCUUUGAAAUCUUAGGAUUUUUCGAUAAUCAAUUGAUAUACCCAUGAAAUUUCAUGGGUUAAUACCAAUUAGCCACCAACGUUUGUUGUCAAACAUCUUUACGCACAUCAAUUAACAAAGGGUCAGGUCGACCUGAUGAAGCUAGAAAGAAAGCUUCUCCAACAACCUAGGAAUAUCAUCGAUAUUAAGAACAAGAUAAUUGUGUUCCAAUCACUCUUCGAAGAACCUAGGAAUAUCAUCAAUAUUAAGAACAAGAUAUAGACCUGGACUCUUGUCACCUCAACAAUGGGUGUUUCUUGAAAAGCAUUAGUUUCUAUCCUUGGAGGAAACUGACCAGUAACGACAAGUAAUGGAACAUCAUCUAGUGCUGCAUCAACUUACCCAUUAACAAGAUUGGGGGAACAUAGACCCCGAGAGAAUAAAAGGAAGAAGAGGUUGGGUGGGGGUAAGGAGGGGAGAGAAGAGAGGGAAAACAACAGAAAUGGGGAGAUAUAAAUAUUUAUUUUAACUUUGUAAGAGCCAUUAAUAAGGGUAUGUUCAAAAACAUGGGGCCAGUUGAAAAACAAUAUUUUAGGAUAAUGGGUGUGUGGGACUUCUAAACGGGGGGUGUUAUAUGGAGAACAUUCAACUCGUGGGAUUUAGUAAUUUUGCAAGAAUAAAACGCCUUAAGGCACUUUGGCAGCACUCAAGUGUCCCAAAAAUAGACCCAGAUAUGCCCCAUGAGGCCUAUGAGGAUCAAAUAACAAGGGAAUCCUAGCCUCUUUCAUGUCCUUGCACAUGACACAGAUUGGAUGCUAAAAAUCCAUGUUUAGAAGGUGAAUGCUUGUCACUAUUUUAUGCUCAAUUGUGGUCACCAAAAUUUGCCACUUCUAGGAAAGAAAGAAACUAUCACAUCAAGGUCCAUGGUCACCAAAGUAAGGCAUUCUAUAGAAGUACUUUACCGAAAAGAUAACAAAGUUCCUAAAUUUAAAUCCUUCUAUCAAUACCUUAUUGUUUUGAACAAAAAUUUCCUCCCACCUUCCCAAAGACUGACUAAUUCCAAAAUUACACAACCCCCCCCUCCCUUCGUCCUCCCUCUUCUCUUUUCUCAAGUCCCUCCUAAGCCUUGCAAACCAUGCCGGACGACCACUUAAAAACAUAUCACUCACUUCCUCCUAGAACCUCCUAUACCACUCAACCAUAUCUUUAAUCUUGCUUUGCUUGAACCUCAUAUCUGACUUACUGCGGUGCACCAUCUUCAAUGCUACUUUGGCCACAAGAUUGCUUCCAUUAAUCGUCAAUUUGUCACAUAUCAUAAGAUACUCCUCCACCUUACAUUAACACUCCUCAUGAACCACCAAAUGAAAUUAAAAUUAUUGACUGGAAUCUCAGUUGUAAUCUCUUUAGUUGCUCUAUAACUGAUACCGGCAUCUAACCUAGGUUGUUUCUGUGAUUAUCAUCAUCCAAGCCACUCAUCCACCUUAAAUUUUAUACUCCUCCCAUACCAACAAAUGAACUUGAAAGUGGUUUUCUUGGUAAGAAUAAAAUUAAAUUAUUGACUGUGAAUUACAUUGCAGCCCCUCAAGUUACAGCUAUGUACAGUAGAGUCCACCUAAUUUCUCAUGCACUCAAUAAAAGGUGAGUAAAGAGGUCAAAGUGAACAAGGAGGACCUCCUGAUAGAGUAAGGAACCAUUAUAAAAAGAGGGAUGCAUCAUAUAGGGUUUUGGAGAUUUAAGAAAACCUUGAAAGAGGCUCUUGAGCUUAAGAAAGGAAUCCAUGCUACAGAAAUAUUAGAGAGUUAGGAAGGAAUGUGGAAAGAUGGCACAUGUAAAAACAAAUAUUAAAGAAUAAGAAAGCAUAUGAAUGCACAGCAAGUAUUCACUUGGUGGUUUUCUAAAAGGUUAGUUCAUCUCAAGAUGCCACCUAUCUUAUUCAAGGAAUCAGCAACUGGUUCACAUAUCUAAGGAUGUGAACAAAGGAAACAACGAUUAUAGACCGAAAUCCCAUAUAUCUCAUCCAAGUAAUGCAAUCUGAUUUUUCCACUAAGACUACUAGUGACCCUUAGCCAGUAGAAACCAGCCAAAACUGAGUCAAAGCCUCAUCAAGAAGCCAUGCUAAAGUACUAGUUCAAAGGCGUAGCCCAAUAUAUCAUUAAUAGAUUCUAAAAUCUGUAAAACUAAAUCUGUGCUAUAAAAACCAAAAUACAUUAAAAAGAAGAAGACGCAUAUAGGUUUACCUACUUUCUUUUGAAAGACCUGAACUCAGAGCGAUGACAUCUCCUUGACAUAAUUAACUAAUAGGAGUGUUUAAUUUAAGGAAAAAGUUCAUAUAAGGAUGCAACCUUAUAAUGCAGAACUACAGAUGCACCUCAAAAAUUCAUCGGAAAAGGUAGUUUUAAUGUUGAAAAACCCUUUGAUUGAUCAUCUCGACAUCGAGAUGUAUGACCAUGAAAAAUAAAAAGAUUUUAAGUCUCAGAAAUAGUGCAUUUUACGAUAUAUUAUCUACACCGUCCAUUUUCAAGAUUUACAUAUGUUAAUAGAUCUACUUGAUUUUAACCAAUUUUGAAAUUUAAAAUUUUAUAAUUAGAUAUAAAAAUAGAUUUUGAGAUAAUCCUAAGAACAUUUUACAUCAAAAUUAUAUACCAUGAUAAAAUUUGAAGGUGCACCUUACCUCUACAGCUGCGGAUGCAUCCGUAUGCCAACUGCACCCUUAAUUUAAUUAUGGUGUAGAAACAUUCAUAUGUCUCUAAUUUCAGAAAGACUUGAUUAACAUUAAAUAAAUGAACAAGAGAUAUUUUAAAUGUAGGAUAAAUGGAAGAACAAGUAAUACCAUUCCAUUAAAAUUGCAAAAUCUAAAAAAAAAAAAAAAUCUAAAUGUGACAUUCAAAACCUGCUCCUUACCUUAUAAAAGAAAAUCACUAUGGAUUUUAAAAAACAUAGAACCAGGAAUUCACUAUUGUGAAGGGCAUCGACAGAUGUUGCGAUUAUCAUUCAACAGACUCCACGAAUAAUUUAAGGAAUAUAAUUUUAUAAAAUAAACAACUACAAUAUAUACCAAGUUCUAAUGAUUAAGCCAUUCCUUACCAAUUUUAUGACUGGUAUUUCCAGUUGAUUACUUGAAUCAAGAAAAAAAUUCAGUAAAAAAAUCACCAAGCAUUUUCAAAAACAUAGAACCAAGAAUUCACUAUUGUGUAGGACAUUGACAGAUGUUGCAAUUUUCAUUCAAUAGACUCCACGAAUAAGAUAAGGAAUCAAAUUUUAUAAAAUAAACAACUACAAUAUAUACCAAGUCCUAAUGAUUAAGCCAAUCUUUACCAAUAUUAUGACUGGUAUUUCUAGUUAAUUACUUGAAUCAAGAAAAAAAUUCAGUUAAAAAAAAAAGAACUAAGUCAAGACAGAACAUAGAUAAUGCAACCCUCAUUUACAGGAGAUCCUGCAAGCUCCUGAACAUCUUCUUUCAAGUUAUGUAUGGAUGGCAAUGGAAGUGUUUAUAUCCAUGUGUAUACUGGAAACUCAACCCUGUUCUUUAUUAUCUUGAUUAUAGGAACACGCAGCUCAACCUGUAUCACAACUUAUACGACCAAUUCAUUAGAUUUGAUAGUAGGGUCUUCGCUUGUAAAACUUGUGAAUGAAAAUGCCUUAAUAAAUUCACAAAUAUUUAUGCAUGAAAUGAGAUUGGCAUUUACAGUAUUUAUCAGUUCAGAUUACAACCUGAAAAACUUGGUGCAUGGCUUUGAUUUGCUUCCUAAACCAGUCUCCUUUUCUGUUACAUAACAUUAAUUAUUUCUGUUCAGUUAAAUUCAAAUGAACUUCUCGAGUUUUUAUAAUUAAAACGAACAGAAAGUGCAUUAAUGGCAUUUAUCUUUUGAGUAAAUAGUGAAAAUUAACAACCAUAUACAGAUUUAAUGUCUUUGCGUCGUCCACAUCAAGGAAAUCAAAGGAGGUUUGUUUGACAAAACCAUAGACCGAAAGAAAAAAAAUUGUCUCUUUAUAAAAAUGAAAAACCAGUUAUCAACAACAUGUUCCGAUUUUGCACAACAUGCUGCCGAUGAGUCACUAGAGAAAAUAACAAAACAAUCUCACUCAACAUACAUAAUGCAUAAACCAAAUAACACAGCAGAUUCCUAAAAUAUUUCUAUCACAUAGUGUGACCGAGAAAAUUUCAUCAAUUCAUUACCCCAAGGCACAAAGAAUAUUACAUAAGAGUGCACUAUUUUCAGUUAUUUUGCGAUUUGCAUGACACAGCACUGAUGUAUUUCUUCAAGCUAUACACGCUAAUGUAAUUAGAGACACGUUUUUUAUUUGGAGUUUUAUAAAUUCAGGUUGCCAAGCAUAUGUUCCAAAACUCAAGACUCAGUUACCGACUCAGUCAUGGUAAAAUCUCGGUGAGCUUUUCAAAAAUUGUCUGUGGUAUCAAAAAGGGAGAAAAAAAAAAAAAAACAUAAAGUGCUUGUAAUGGCAUUCAGAGUUUCAGACCCUAAUGUUUACAUGUUACAACAAUCUUACUGCAUUGGAAAGCACCACAUAUAUGCCAAAAUAACACUAAAAAACAUGUAUAAGCAAAAACCCAGAUAUAUUGCUCAGUUAUAAACUAGCCCAUUAAGAGAGUAUAAGGCAAGUUUUUCCUACUUGGAGUGAGUUUGUAUUCACCAGUCAAAAACUUACAACCUUAUUGGGAACUUCCUUGUUGAUAGACUUUGUUGAAAAAAAACUUCCUAGUAUAUAGCUUGAUGCUAAUAAUUUUCUGUCUAUAUAAAACGUAUUCGUCUUUCUAUGAGUUAUUUCCUUCUUACAUCCUCCCACUUCCUACAUUCACUACCUAAGGUAACUUUUCAGAUGAUUUUUAUGCAUUUCAAUAUUUUUGUUGAUUGUCACAUCAUUCUAGUAUUUAAACACUCAUACUUAAAAACUUGUGCUUAUGCACAACUUGAUACAUUACUCAGGUAAGCCCCAAGUCUGGAAAGCAUGUCAACAUAUUCAGGACAUUGAACUUAAAGUUCAAUUGCACUUAUGUAUGUCAUAGAAUUAAAUAAACCUCUCUAGCUGGUAAGGGAACAACAAAGUAAACUAAAUAUCCCCUUCAAGGGAAAAUGAAACGAACCUAAAACUUGGGUUGCGGUAUAUUAGAGUCAAAUGGCCCCUAUCAAUAUUUUAUAAAGCAUUUCAUAAGUCAGUUAAUUUUGUUUGAUUGAUAAUGACUGACAUAUAAAAAACAUGAUUUACUCAAAUUUAUGGAACACUCCAAACAAAGAGCACAAAGACAUGGGGAGGGGGGGGGAGGGAAAGAGAGAGAGAGUAGAAAAUUGAGGGAAAAUUUUUUAAAUAAUAAUAACUACUUCUAAACAAAGAACACAAAGGCAGAGAGAGAAUCAGAGAGAGAGAGAGAAUAGAAAAUUGAGAGGAAAACUUUUAAAUAACAAUACCUACUCGUCUAUAUAUUUACAAAGCUCUAAAGUUCCCCAUACUUCCAACAUUAAUGUUAUGAAUAUUCAUGCAACAAUCAAAUCACAACCAUCCUGACUAUAUGAGCCCAAACACAUAAACAUGACCCUACCGAAGAAAUAAAAAAAUAAAUAAAAGAAAAGAGCCAAUUUCAUAUGAGUUCUAUGAAGAACUCGGAUCUCAAGAAUCAUGCUUAAAUCGUCUGGUAUGUUUCUCCACUAAUAAAUGCAAACAAGGAAAUAGAAGAAAGACAGAAAAAAUACAAAAAAAGAACCACCAAGAAAAGGAGCAAAUCUAAUAACCAAAGAACAAAUAAAUAGAACUUAAUUCAGGGACUGGCUCAAGCAAAAUGUACCAGUAUAAGCUCCAAAAUGUUGAUUAGACCGCUUAAAUCCUCCAUUGCCAUUGCUUGAAGCAUCACCUCUGGGCUUCUUGCGAGGUGGCUCUACUGGAUCCAUGGCACUUAAAGAUCAAAACCUGGUUUAAAAAGAAACCCUAAAAGACCAGAGGCCACGAAGCCUAGAACCCAAAGAAGCUAAACCAAACCCUAGAAAGAAGCCCUGAUACUGAAACCCUAAAAAACCGAAGGAGAAAGAGUUCAGAACCCUAGGGUUUAGCUGAAAAGAUGGAUCAAAAGAAACCCUAGAAAAACCCUAGGAGAACAUGUAAAAGAUUUUUUAGGGUCCCGAGAAAGAAAAAGGGAGCAGGGACUUCGUCGACUAUAAAUCGAUCACAAGGAAGAAACUGUAUUGCCUCUAACUUUUACGUGUUUGACAAACAAGUCCCAAGUUUUCUGAAAUGACAGAAAAGCCCCUGACUUGGAAUUUGGUGGUUUUGAAUUUUGGACUACAAAAUGUCCCGUGGUGAAUUUGAACCCCCCUAAGCCAUAUUUUUUUUGUUGAUGACAAAAAGCCACCUAAUAUGCGUUGUGGUAUGGAUCUGAAUUAUUUUCGAACCACCAAAGUGACAAAAGUGCCUCUUUGCUCAUAGCAAUGGUAUCACAAUCUGUCUAGCUCUAGGCGAGGGGUCGACCGGUCAAAAUCUAUCCAACUAUUAGUUGAAUUAAUUGGACUAAUUUUUUAAAAAAGUAAAAAAAAAAAAGUUAAAAAUAUAAAAUAUAAUAAUUAUCUAUUUUUAUUUAGCCAAUCAAACCAAUCAAUGCCGGCUAAUUUGAUUAGCCAAAACUAAUCAAAUACUUCUUUGUCGUGUUUUCUAUCAAACACGAUUUUUACUUUUUGUCAAAAUAGUCAAGGCAUUGGUUAGCGGCGCGGCCUAUCAGUCUUGCCAAUCCGGUCCAGUCUUGAUAAGUAUAAUUUAGAGUACAUCUCAACAAACAUUGUUAAAAUAAAUUCUAACUUGCCUAGUCCUCAGGUUGGACUGGCACAUGAAAAAUAAAUAAAUAAAUAAAUAAAACUAAACUAAAAAAACCAGGAUGAUACCGAGGUUCCUUGAUACAGAAUCUUCCACUUCCCAAUCCUGAUCAGACUUGGGUGAUUUCAAAACAUAUUGAUAACUUCCUUGUCAUUGGUAUCAAUUUUUUGAAUAUUAAAGUUUUGAAAUAGUAAAAUAACUAAAAAACUACUCAAUUUCUAUACCAACGCCAUGAAAAUUUUCUCGCCUAGGGAAACAAAAUUUAAUGUUCCAAAGUUCAAACCUACAGCAUGACCUGGAGGACCCUUUUUGGCGAUAGAAAUGAGUAACUCUAUUCUUUCGCCUAAGUGGCAAAUGGAUGGUAGAAAAGUUCAUAAUAUUUUACUUUAAUAGCGUAGAAUGAUAAACCAGAAUUCAUGUAGUCAACCUCAAUUAGUUGAGAAAAGGCUUUGACGAUAAUGAUGAAUCGCUAGGUUUCGAUUUCGAUUCAUCUAGUCCCUAAAUCGGAUUAGCACAUGGAUAACAAAGAAGAAAUAAAAUAAAACUAAAAAAACCAUGGUGGCUCCAAGGUUCCUUGAGUGAGAAUCACCACAUCCCAUUCUUGAUUUGACUCAGGUGAUUUCAAUUCAUAUUAGUGAUUUUUUAUGAUUGGUAUCAAUUAUUUCAUAAGUUCAAAUUUUUUAAAUAAUAACACAACCAAAAUACCACUAGAGGUCUAUAGUAAGAGUUAUGAAAACUUUCUAGUGUAGGGAAUACAUUUUAGUAUGCAGCAUAUAACUUUUCAUGUACUUUCUUAUUUGAAAAUUUAACAAAAUUUAUUGAAAUAGCCAUAAGGGAUGAAAUAUCUAGUAAUUUACCUUUUUUGCAACUAUUCCAACUUAAGACCGUAUAUUAUUUUAUGGGUAUUUUGAAAUUGAAACAAAAGAUACGAGCAAAACCGUGUAAUUUGAUAUAUUUUCCUAAAAUUUUUAUUUGAAACUUAGUAGGAGUAGAACUCAAGACCUUAUAUUGUGGUACCUCGCCAUUUUAACAAUGCAUUCCUGUAUUGUGUGCAUGAAAUAAAUUGCGGCACUUAUCUUCAGUGAUUUUACAUAUGUGCAUGCAUGGGCAGCAUGUGCAUCGCCAUUCAUCUUUCAACAGGUAUUCCUGCAAGUUGAGUUGGUCUUCUUCCUCUCUAUUUAUGCAUCACCAAGCAUCCCUCUUCUACACACUCACUAAUUGUCCAAGUUACUUUUUUGAAUAUGUUGACGUUGGGAAAUGGGGUUUGGACAGCUCUAUUACUCCAAGUUCAUGGCAUUAAGAGCCAAGGUCUACAUGAACAUUCAUACGAAGUCCAGUGACCCACUCUGCAAUCUUAAUGAAUAAGGCAGGGGGCCAUACUAGUCGCCUCAUUCAAUGCUAAAAAGACAUCUCCAGAGGGUUGGUUGUCUCUUUCAACCAGAAUGAAAAGUGCAGAUAGCUUAGCCAAUAAGAGUGGGAACGGUCCAGGUCUGGAUCUUGGACCUAACCCAAAAACCCACCUUUGGGACGGCGACCCUAACCCUGAUCCAACUGGAUCUAGAAUUUUCCCAACCUGGACCCCUUCCGAAUUGAUUUGGGAGGACUUGGACCCAAUCUGCAAAUAUAUCUAGGUGGGGUCUAGGCUGAGUCUACUUCGACCCCGAUCGACCCGAAUGCUAAUUGUGCCCAAGCUAAUCGACCUGAACCCGCCUGCAGGGUCCACACCUUAACCAAGUUUGGAUCGGCAGGUCAACCCAACCCGAUUGUUAGUUCUAUUAGCCGAUGAGGGGGUCUCUAAUGCUUACCUCUACAAUGUUUUAAAUUUUGGAAAAUAUCCCCAUAUCUCUUAUUUUUAAGUUUCAUUUAUCGAUAAACCUAAGGUUUCAAAAGAUAUCUUCUUACCACUUUAAACCUAUUUUUCAACCUAAACAAAUGUGAAAAAUACAUGCUCUUUAUAAACCCAAUCAUUCAAUCUCUUCACUUAUAUACUCCAAACUUAUCUAUUUCUCUCUCCUCCUGUGUUUCUCCAAACACCCAUCUCUUUCCCUCCAGUAACCUCUCAUUUUUAUGAAACCCUUCUCUCUCUCUAGAAGUUUGGGAUGAUGGCUUUUAGAAAAAGCAUGUAUUUUUAGAUUUGUUUGGUCUAAAAAAAUGGGUUUAAAUUAGCUCAUAGGGUUAGAAUAAAUAAAAUCUACAAUUUUUAUAUUUUAAGAGAUCUUUUAAAACCUCGGGUCUAUUGUGAAAUAAAACCUAAAAAUAUGAGGUAUAAAAAUAUUUUUCCUUUUACAUUUAGGUGCAGCUUUUCUUAUAUAAUUAAGUCGUAUAAGGACAUGUGGAGUACCCAAUAAUUUGGUACAAAAAUAUCACUAUUUACCGUUGGUACACAAAGGCCACUAUUAUUCCAAGUUGUCAAAUGGAUAAUCCAGCUGCUAGACGCACACCAUUGAUUGCAAUUAAUGUCCGAGAAAAAAUUUCUCACAAUUUUUGUAGAGAAAUGAUGGACCUCAACUCGUAUAUGACAGUAGUAGGGGUGAUUAUGACCUUUUUACGAAAGGCCCUAUCAGUGUAGGAAAGCACGACACUACCCUAUGAUCGGGCCCUGGGCCAGGCCGAGUAACUCGAGCCAAGUCCGAGUAAUUCAACCCGAGUUGGGUAGAUCUCGGCCAGAUCAAAAAGUGUUAAAAAAAUCUCAAAAAAAAAUGAAAAUUAUGUUUAAAUUAAAAUAAACAAAACAAAAAAAGUAGUGGAAAAAUGGAUUUUUUUAAAAAAAGUUAAUUUGUGAUUGGGCGUAUUAUAGAACUAUCCAAAAAAAAGAAAAAAUAUAAAAAUAAGUUUUUAUGGCUAACACACUUCCUAAUCUUUGUCAACAUGAUAAAUAAUAUAUAAAAAUAUUACAAAUAAUUUUUUAAUUUUUUAGAUUUGUUUUAAAUCACGAGCUUGACCACCAAAUUCACCCAGGCGAGCCUGAGUUACUCAGGCGAGUCCUUGUUGGCGCGCUUUAAGUUGUCGAAAACCGGUUCCUAUAUUGUGCAAUCCUUAAUUACAUUGCUAACAUGCACUCCUCCUGUGAUUUUCAAGAGAAAAGUCUUCUACCGUCCUAUAAUAUGUAUCAUACUCGAUGUUCAUCCCUCUAAAACUACAUAACCGACCUAUAUUCCAUUUAUGCAGAGAAAUGAAAAGAAGGAAAAAAAAAAAAAGUAGAAGAAGAAGAAAGAAUAUAAGGAUAAGGUUGGGGUAAACUGGGUUAGGCUGGCCCUCUGGACACAUUUAAGGGGAGGGCCCUAAAUAAUCAAAUUAAGGCACAUCUAAAAAAUUCACCAAAAGAGGUUGUUUCGAAUCUUUCAAUACUUAAAAAACUUCAAAUCGAACGUCUCAAUCUCAAGAUGUAUGGACAUGAGAAAAAAUGGAUUUCAAGUAUUGAAAAUAGUGCAUAUUGAAAUACAUUUACUAGACUGUCAAUUUUCAAGAUUUUGUAGUGUUUAUAUAUUUGUUCGAUCUACACUAUUUUUUAGGCUUUAACUUUAUAAUUAGAGAUAAAGAUUUUCAUUCUAAUACAUUUAUCAUACUUUUAUGGUUUAGGUUGUUAGGGCGUCAACCUUAUACAAACUACACCCCUUACUGGAAAAAGUUUACGUAGCGCUGAGGUUUUAAACAAUCAAAUUAAAGUCCACCUAAAAAAUUUUACUAGAAGAGGCUGUUUUGAUGCUCAAAUAUCCUCAAAUUGAUCAUCUUGACAUCAAGAUGCAUGGACAUUAAAAAAAAUGGAUUUCAAGUUUUGAAAAUAAUGCAUCUUGUAAUGCAUUUUUGGACCGUCAAUUUUAAAGAUUUUCAAAUUUUCAUUGAUUUUCUCGAUCUACACUAUUUUUGAAGCUCUAUAAUUAAAGAUGAAAAUAUAUUUUAAAGUUAUUACUAAAAUUUAUAACAUUGAAACUACAUUUCUCGACACUAUUUGAAGUUGUGCUUUAUUUUAAUUGUUUAGAGCCUCGACACUGUACAAACCGCAACCUUAAUUAUUUGAGUAUGUAUAUAUUGUCUAUUCCGAAAGCAUUUCAUGCGUGGCUAUUGAACAUGACUCUACUCUGCACUGAUUGUCCUCCUCCGCCAUGUAUCGAGAUCAAUAAGGUAAUGAAGAGGAUUUGCUUGAUUUGAAAAAUUGAAUUUCUACAUAAGUGUUUUUCUAGAAAGAAAUAGAUUCCAUGUACUUCGACACUCAGAUCUAUCUAAAAAUUGGACAGUACGACAUGAAUUUUUUUCAUAUUUCAAAAUACAUAAAUUUCUUUCUUUCUUUUUUAUAGAUUGGAUGCGAGGUGUCACAUCCCCCCAAUGGUCUUAAAAGGACUCUUAUCAAGAAUUUUACACCAAGCUUCAAAUGCACAGUUUGUUCUGCGGGAGCAAGUAAUCAUUUCAUACAGAAUAUAACACCAAUAUGGCAAGCUUUGUAUGCUUCUUCUACAGCAUAAAACUUAUAUACACAACCGUCCAUUAUGAAUGGAGGGUUAAAAUUACCCCAAUCACAAUGUCACAUCUCUUUACUAUUUUAUUUUAAAGUUUUUUUCUAUAAAUUAUUUGAACACCAAAAUUUUGGACAACUCGCAAUAGCGAAAAAUAUUAAAAAUAUAUUUUCAAUAAAAUAAAAUGACCAAAACACCACCUUUCAAAGUUUCAAAGGGUAUUUUGAUAAUUAUAUUUUAUCGAAAAAUUAUUUUUAAUAUUUUUUAUAAGUACGUCCCAAUGAGAAGAUGGCACGUACCAAAUUUCAUAUUCGUACAAUUUGUAUUAAAAAAAAACUAAAAAUAAAAUACUUUAAGAUGUCGGAUCUAAGAUCAAAUGGUGAGUCCCUAUCUUGAUCAAAAUUAGAUGGCUGGAUAGUAGGGGAAGCAUAGAACUUAUAUGCCAAUAAGAAAAGCAUAGAUUUUCUAUGCUGUAUGAGAAGUAUAGGAACCUUUCCCUUAUAUUUUUUAUCCGGAGAGAGAGAUUUCUCAAAUACGAAUUAGAAAUUCAAACAUCAUGCAAGAAAUUCAUGAGCCCAUUUCUUGUAUUUUGUAUAUUUUUAUGAAAGAGAGAGAAUUCUCAAAUUCCAACUAGAAACUCGCACAUUACAUACAUGCAUUACGACUCAAUUGGAUAUUCCUACACAAGAGAGAGAGAGAGAGAGAGAGAGAGAGAGAGAGAGAGAGAGGGGCACUGAAAUCUCUGAAUGCAUCAAACUCCGGACACGUUGAGAAAUCAAGUGAAAUAUAAAUGAAAUUAAGAAGAAGAAAACACAAUAAAAAAGACCUCGACAAACAUUUGCAAAACUCAUCCUUUCCGUAUGCCCUCUUCAUCUCCUUCCUUCUUCUUUCCAAUGCCUUUUGCCUUCUUCCAUCCUUGCAUUAACAUGCCCUUUAUGCUCUUAAAACCAACCUGAAAGAAGUGUUUCAGCUCCUCUCUCUUCUCCUUUAGAGUCCCCAUGGCAUUGAAGACAGACAGACUGAGAGAGACCACCCAAGCCAAAGAUGCAAUUCAAGUGCAAGGGGCUGAGGGAUUUUAACCUACAAAGAAGCCAAAAGGUCGAUACCCU